UCACCUAGCCGUGAAUGGUGUCUCUGUG
rnacentral:piRNA from 1 species